AACCACCUUGUGGCAGUCAGGUAUUAUCAAAGUUCCUUCAAGCCUUUGAUAUCAGCUCUGCCUGUCACCACAAAACAGAAUUCACCAAGUGUUGUUCAGUUCACACAUGGACAGUGAACACGAGCUGGGUUUAGACUGCCUUGAGACAAGUU
rnacentral:ncRNA from 1 species